rnacentral:rRNA from 1 species
UACGGAGGGGACUAGCGUUGUUCGGAAUUACUGGGCGUAAAGCGCACGUAGGCGGAUUUGUAAGUUAGGGGUGAAAUCCCGGGGCUCAACCUCGGAACUGCCUUUGAUACUGCAAAUCUCGAGUCCGGAAGAGGUGAGUGGAAUUCCUAGUGUAGAGGUGAAAUUCGUAGAUAUUAGGAAGAACACCGGUGGCGAAGGCGGCCCACUGGAUCGGUACUGACGCUGAGGUGCGAAAGCGUGGGGAGCAAACAGG